CAACGGCCAGACCGAGCGGGCCAACCAGGAGUUGGCAACUGCAAUACACUGUGUGACUUCGGCUAACACUUCCUCCUGGAGUGCCCAGCUACCCUGGGUGGAAUAUGCCCACAACACCCUCAUCAACGCCUCAUCAGGUAUGUCUCCCUUUGAGUGUGCUCUGGGUUACCAACCUCCCUUGUUCCCAGCCCAAGAGGUCAAAGUAGCAGUGCCCUCAGUCCAGGACCACAUGCGCCGUUGUCGUCGCACCUGGAGGAGGGCCCAGGCUGCUCUUCGCACCUCCGCCAGGACCCAAGCCCAAGUUAACCGUCGCCGUGCAUCAGCCCCAGUCUACACUCUAGGCCAAAAUGUAUGGCUUUCAUCUAAGGACUUGCCCCUGAAAGUGGUUUCCAAAAAAAUACCUCCCCCGAUUCCUUGGCCCCUUUGCGAUUGAUUGUGUCAUAAACCCCUCUGCUGUUCAUCUUAAACUCUCAGACUCUCUCAAAAUUCACCCCACCUUCCAUGUAUCCUUAAUUAAACCAGUCUGCUCCAGUCCCCUGUCCCCUCCUGCAGCUGUUCAUCGAUGACCAUCCUGCCUAUACCGUCCGGUGGCUUUUGGAUGUGCGUCGUCACGGUUGGCAGUAUCUGGUGGACUGGGAUGGAUAUGGGCCUGAGGAGCGCUGCUGGGUGCCCCGUCGUCACAUUCUGGAUCCCUCCCUCUUACAGGAUUUUCAUUCCUCACACCCAGACAAGCCGGGUCGUGUGCCAGGUGGCAUCUGUAGAGGGGUGGGGAGGUACUGUCACAUCUGCUCCUGCUAUGCCCUCUGGUGUUCAGCCAGUGUCUUCUUGACCUGAAGUUACUCCCCCCUGUACACUCUCUCUCCCUCUGUGUGAUUGUGUGGUUGGAGACAGAUAUGCUGGAGUCAGAGCAGAUCCCUACCAUCUGCAACUCGUCCCAUAAUCAAGACCUCUACACACACUCGGUCCUGCCACUUCCACUCUGCCAGAUCAUAAUCUCUGCUCAUUUACCUCUCUGUCUCUGGCUCCUGUCUCCCGUUCCACAUCACCCAACUACCUAGCUCUGGAUUACUCACCACCACUACCUUGGAUUCCGCUCAGGACCUGUUUACCCUGUUCGACUGACUCCAACCUCAGUCUCCACAUCUGUUUUUCUGCAACUCAUCCAAGCUUCCCCGGAUCUGCACUCCAUAUCUCCC
rnacentral:lncRNA from 1 species